rnacentral:ncRNA from 1 species
ACGUGAGGCUCAAUAUGGGCCCUUUUAUUAGUAAUAAUGAAAGAGAACUUAGCUAUAUCGGUGAAACCCUUCCAAAGUAAAGGACAAUACCGAGGGAACUCGCCUAGGCGAGACUCCGUAGAGACUACACGCUAAGCUCCCUAUAGGGAUGAAGAUAUAGUCCGACACUCUGGGUAACCAGAGC